GAGAAAGAGGAACAAAGAUGAGAAAGGACCAGCAGUUAUUUGUGAGGCUGUGGCCAUCCCUACCCCACCCCAAACCACCAGCUGAGGGGAGGGAUGUUCAAAGAACCAAAUUUUCCAUUCCUCAAAGCCAAACAAGCGCGGAGAAUCAGCCGAGCCUCUCUAAAUUGGUGCCUGAUGGGGGAAUAAAAAGCUGAACCCGCUGAAAGGCCGCAUCUGUUAAAUGAAUCUACAGCCUGAGAACCAAAUCAAAACAGAUGUGUUCAAUCAGCAGGGAUCCCUCCCUCGGAGAGACACUUCUACCUCCGUGUCCUACAAAACGUUUGCUGACCCCUGACCUAGAAGCUGUGAGGGCUGGUGGAGGAAAUCUUGUGAAGGGCAAGUAUCAUUUUGUAAAGCUCUGCCUCAGAGUGAAGAACAAUUCCUGGAGUGACCCUGACACCAGUGGGAAGCAAACAGGAAGAAGCAAAUCCCUUCUUCCUCCUCCAGCCUCCAGUGUCCCUCCAGCAUCCUCAGGGCCUCCUAGAGCCUAACAGGGAGCAGCUGCAGAGUGGAAAUAUGUGGUGUUCAGAGUCUUAGCUCCAACACCACAUAGUAGGGGUUACCAGGCUGAGCUGCAGUUGCUUAAUCAGCAGCACACGUCCCAGUUAUUCACAGGAGAAGAGAGUCUUCAUAACUGUGAUGCUAAAGCAUGCCAGGAGGAUAUUAUCACCCACUCACCACUAAGAACCAGCUCCUUGUUGCCACCUGAGCAGGAAAUGAUCCAAGACUGAGGAUCUGCUGCCUGGACCCCUUCUAAUACCAACUGUCUUAAUGUGGGUUCCCAGAAGCCAACCCUGAGGCAAGGAUUUGAGUGAAGUGGUUUAUUUGGGAGGUAGAGGGACAAAUAAAGUGUGUGUUGCCAGCCAG
rnacentral:lncRNA from 1 species